GACGAACGCUGGCGGCGUGCUUAACACAUGCAAGUCGAACGGAAAGGCCCUGCUUUUGUGGGGUGCUCGAGUGGCGAACGGGUGAGUAACACGUGAGUAACCUGCCCUUGACUUUGGGAUAACUUCAGGAAACUGGGGCUAAGACCGGAUAGGAUCUCCUGCUGCAGGGUGGGGGUUGGAAAGUUUCGGCGGUUGGGGAUGGACUCGCGGCUUAUCAGCUUGUUGGUUGGGUAGUGGCUUACCAAGGCUUUGACGGGUAGCCGGCCUGAGAGGGUGACCGGCCACAAUGGGACUGAGAUACGGACCAGACUCCUAUGGGAGGCAGCAGUGGGGAAUCUUGCCCAAUGGGACGAAGCCUGAGGCAGCAGCGUCGCGUGCGGGAUGACGGCCUUCGGGUUGUAAACCGCUUUCGCCUGUGACGAAGCGUGAGUGACGGUAAUGGGUAAAGAAGCACCGGCUAACUACGUG
rnacentral:rRNA from 1 species